GGAGAGAUGGCUUAGUGGUUAAGAGCACUGGCUGCUCUUCCAGGGGACCUGGGUUCAAUUCCCAGCACCC
rnacentral:tRNA from 1 species